rnacentral:rRNA from 1 species
GAUGAACGCUGGCGGCGUGGAUAAGGCAUGCAAGUCGUGCGGAAAGGCUCCUUCGGGAGUACUCGAGCGGCGAAAGGGAGAGUAAUGCGUGGAUAUUUACCCCCGGGACUGGGAUAGCGGCGGGAAACUGCCGGUAAUACCGGAUAAUGUCUCCGGACCAAAGGUGUGACUCCGCCUGGGGAUGAGUCCGCGUCCUAUUAGCCUGUUGGUGGGGUAAUGGCCUACCAAAGCUGAGAUGGGUACCGGGUGUGAGAGCAUGGCCCGGCUCACUGGGACUGAGACACUGCCCAGACACCUACGGGUGGCUGCAGUCGAGAAUCUUCGGCAAUGGGCGAAAGCCUGACCGAGCGACGCCGCGUGCGGGAUGAAGGCCCUCGGGUUGUAAACCGCUGUCAGAGGUGCGGAAAUGCGUGGGAGCACUCUCCCAUGUUUGACCUACCCUCAGAGGAAGUACGGGCUAAGUUCGUGCCAGCAGCCGCGGUAA